AGUGAACGCUGGCGGUAGGCCUAACACAUGCAAGUCGAACGGCAGCACAGUAAGAGCUUGCUCUUACGGGUAGCGAGUGGCGGACGGGUGAGGAAUACAUCGGAAUCUACUUUUUCGUGGGGGAUAACGUAGGGAAACUUACGCUAAUACCGCAUACGACCUACGGGUGAAAGCGGGGGAUCUUCGGACCUUGCGCGAUUGAAUGAGCCGAUGUCGGAUUAGCUAGUUGGCGGGGUAAAGGCCCACCAAGGCGACGAUCCGUAGCUGGUCUGAGAGGAUGAUCAGCCACACUGGAACUGAGACACGGUCCAGACUCCUGCGGGAGGCAGCAGUGGGGAAUAUUGGACAAUGGGCGCAAGCCUGAUCCAGCCAUACCGCGUGGGUGAAGAAGGCCUUCGGGUUGUAAAGCCCUUUUGUUGGGAAAGAAAAGCAGCAGGUUAAUACCCCGCUGCUCUGACGGUACCCAAAGAAUAAGCACCGGCUAACUUCGUG
rnacentral:rRNA from 1 species